UCCACAUGCUACGUACGGAUAAAGUAGCUGAAUUUUAAAAUGGAUUAAUACGCGCCAGUUAAACGGGGACAAGUGUUUCGCGGCACGUUGAACCAACUAAUACGUGCAACCUGGUUCGGUAGAUAGACACCAACUUUUCAUACGAAAAUUGCGACAAUGUUCUAGUGGCUGCUCGACCCUGUUACUUGUAUCAUCGACUCGACAACAUUUCCUCACGGAAAUAUCCUAAGAUCAGAGUGCGCGAUAAUUAGGCAAUUACGCGCUUCUAUAGCGAUUGAACAAAAUUUCGAUCGUGCUACGUAUACAAGUAGCAUUCGUUGCUACCUGUGUAUACAAAGUUAUCGGUAUUCUUCGUACGGCUUUUAAAUAACGGUGUUCGAUCGAACCGUUGAUAAAAUCAUAGGCGAAUUUGAGGAGGAUAGGAAUUAUAAAGGAAACAUUAAUAUAUAUACGUUAAAAGUUAUUCGAGUGUCGAAAGAUGCCGUUUUAAGAAUAAAAAGCGAGAGAAAGAAAGGACGGAACGGAAGCAAUCGCGUUAAAAAAUUAAAGAUCAAUUUUACAACUAUCGAAGGAAAAAGAAGGUGACACGUGGCUGGUCGGUGGAGGAAUAAAAUCGCGAGAAGCCAAACCGGAAGCCGUAGGUUGACGGCUCUAUGUCUUCGUCGGCCGCGACAUCUUGUCCUCGCAGACCACGUUCCUGUAAAAAGUCCACGAGAUAGAACGAAGCGGAUGGCUGUCUGCCGGAUAUCAAACGAACGAACGAAUCGGACGAGAAGGUUGAAACAAGCUAGACGAAACUCAGGUGCGGCGGACGCGUUUCUUUCGAAGAAGAAAGGAAGAGAAGAAGAAAAGGAGAAAAUCGUUUACCCCGCUUAACACGCUCUGUUACAUCGUUACAUCCGCUAUACGCGUAUGCUACACGCUGAAACUUAAAACGAUAUUACUGGACAACAGGGGCCAUUUCGAUUUUUCCACUCUCGCGGACCACACCCACCGCUAUUAUCAGCACUCGCGAAUUCUUGUUGCGUUCUGAAAUGGUGGUAAGUUUGGGCAGAGGGGCUUGAGAAUCACGGCUCGAAUAUCGAUGCGAAUAUCAUCGCGAUGCAAUCGGAUAUACGCAGCUAGGUUGCGGUAUGUACGUACACAGAAACGCGUAAUGCAACGCGUUUCCAUAUCCAAGCUCUGCCACACGGUGAUACAGCAAUGGGAAGCGAUAUACGAAUAUCAGCCAUGCGUCAAACGUAUAAAUCCUCGCCGCCCCCGUUUUCCACCGUUAAUAUUUUACGAAUCGUAAAACCUAGAACAGCCUCGUCGUAUACGUACUUGAAAACGUCCGUUAUUUGCGCUCUUUCCUCUCUAAAAAUGUAUAUUUCGUUGCUUGAAAUUGUUUUAUCGCCAAAUGACGCAUUUGCGAUGAGAAUUUGUCGAUCAAACCCAAUCGCGGUUUAGCUUUUCUUAAUCUUUUUCGUCGAACGUCCGAUAGUGUUACAAUCGAGCAUCCGUCGAAGAUAUCGGUUUUUCUACGGAAGACCGAUUAGCGCACAAACUCGUCUAUUAAGGUCGACGCGUAGCCGAUUGCUAAAGUUACAACCGGCAUCACUUACGACACGUAACAUCGCAUAUUUUUUCUUCUUUCCUCCUUGAUUAUAUAUCGUCGCUACGUCUAUUACUUCUUUAUUUUCUCUCGUUUCCGCGUUCUUUUUUUCUCAUUCUCGUGUUUGCCGUGGGCACGAUAAUAUAUCAUAUUAACAAAUGUAUUUAAUCGAUUGUAAAGAUCGCCCAAUGACUUUCCGCCACUGAAUUUGUCAAUCGCAUGUUCUACGAUAUCUCGAUUAUGUUGCGGCAUCUGUGUGGGAUUGGACAGAGUAUAGCUGUACGCGCGUACAUACAACGCGUACAAAUAUGAUUCAAUAUCCGGAAGUGCGUAAACGAUGAUUUAUGAUUUGUGAUUGAUUUAUGAUUUAUGAUUACGAAUAUAAAAUUACGCGAAGAAAGACAUAGAGAUCGUGUUUUGUGACGUAUUACGUUUUAGAAAACUUGAUUGAUACGAUAAACCUGGUAUACGAUAUCGGCAAAUUCGACGAACAAUUUUAUCGAGGUAUUUGUCGAAAUAAGUUGUUCGUAGUCUGGUUACGUUGCAUCGCGAUCAGCGUGGGUACUUUAGCGAGUAGCGAAUAGUAGCUAUUCGUUCGAGAGGCGGCGUAUCAAAGGGUUGGCCAUGUGUACGAGCAAUAAGUUUAUAACCGUUUAGAAGCUGUUUGCGAGUUGUUGGAGAACCGCGGUGUGGACACGACGCUGAUCCGCUGUUUCUGCUCGUGAGCAGCUCGCGAAUAGUUGUAGUCGGUGUGGACAAAGCGUUACGUAUCUUGCAAUUAGUUAAAAUGUGUGUUCAAUGCGACGAUGCAAAACGUUCAUGAUUUUGUUAUUACGUGAGACGAAUAGCGAAUGACAAGCACCGACUAAACGCCGAUUCAGACUAUCCUAUCGCGUACGAAAAAUAGCGAAAGUUUCUUCUCCUUUGUUCGUCUCACAGACCAUUCGCUCGUGAGAAAAACGUUAAAAAGUAAUUAAAGUAAAGUAAACGAUGAAAAUUCGAACAACAACAACAACGAAAGUGUCUUCUUAGUGUUGAUUCGGGAUAUCGCUGUACAUAUAUUUCUUUCAUCGACGAAACAGGCAACGACGUAGCGUGCUACUCAUUUCGUGCGAAUUUCGUAACAUUCGGUUCACGUAAUACGUAUCGUAGAACGCGUGUGUGCGUGUCAGACAAGAUAUCCUACGUUAUUAGACGAACCUUUAAUGACGCCACGCUUCCACGCGCUGUUAUUAUAUCGUCGGACCGAACUAGCCGACAUUUUGGUCAGUGAUGUAUCGUUGUGAAACCGGAAUCCGGGGGAUACGCGAAUUAUCGUCGGGUUGCACGUUCGCUGGAAAAUUUUUCGCCGUAAUGGACAAUCGAGGUAUUUGUCGAACCAUUUGUAUUACACCGUAAACCGUGUAAUAAUCGCUCGAGUUCAAAGAUAUGGACGUUCUUGGAGUUUGAUCUCUUUCGAGGAUAAUUUCGCGACACGUUCGAUCGAUAGCGAAACAUUGCUGCGCGCGGCAGCGUAAACGAACGAGCAUAGGAGAUGGUCGAAGAAAUUUUUGCAUAGAUGCAGAUAUUUGUAAAUCCGACAGAUCUUUAGCACGGUAUUUUCCUUUUGGUUUCGCUACUCGAUACUUUUAGCAGAAGCAACAAGGACAAGAAUUUCAAGGAUAUUUUUGCCAAGCCAAAGUAAGAGAAAAAUGAAAAAUAUAUAAAUUGCGUGGGAGAUUUCGUUUAUUAGGCAAAAUUUUCCCUGUGCAAACAAACAUACUUGCAACUUAGGCGAUGUAGGACACGGUAAUUGUCAGACUUAAAGAAGCAUGUCCGGCAGUUUAGCUCGUACAAAUUGUAGACAAAAAGACUAUGACAUUCGCUUUCAUAAAUGGUGCGGAACUUUGUAUAUACGCGUAUACUCGCGUAUACUCGCGUAUACCCGCCUAUGAUAUGCUCGUUACAUAGGACCGAGGCCAGUAAGUACUUUAGGCGAUUUGACAAACUGUUUUAUCUAGUGAUUCUAUUCGUGGAUUCGACGCUAGCGAACACGAACGUGCACGAUCGGCGAUAAAGGAUAUAAAGUGGAUUCGAACGAUAGCCUUCGAGCGAACGGUACGAAACUCGAUGUUAUUAAGGCGUGCAACAGCUUGCGUUGAGCGUAAUUUUCUUUAAACAUCCAUGAUUCGAAAACUAAAGUAUACGUAGAACGGUGUAUGUUCGUAAGACGUUAUCUUCGUUUCUAGACAUUUAUCGGCCUGUGCGAGUAUCCGCUCCCCUGAUCCCUGGUUACUCUAUGUCAUUCCGUAUAAUAGCAUGCGCUUUACAUAUCGUUGGUAAAGCAAUGAUAAAAAGUAGAGAGACGAAGAUAAAAUAAUUUAAACCAUACCGUUAAAUUCAUAAUGAAACUAUAGAUCGAGUAACGUAAUCUGUCUUUUAUCGCGUAAAGCAACUGUUUUCUUGAUGUAAAAAACUGGCUCUCUCUCUCUCUCUCUCUGUAGUCAGUUUAAAAGCGAAGAAAACGGCUGAAUGCAAAUUUCUUGUCAACGACAAACGUUCCGAGAGCCACAAAUCUAAAGUAAAGCAGAUUUUAGGACUUAGGAGAGUAUCGAGGAUUCUGGCGAAUUGCGACAAAAACGUAUUUGUCCGAUAAACAGCUGGGAAUUAAAAGCGAUUUCAAUUGGGAAUACACCUUGAAUCCGCCGUGAACUCCUUCGAAGACCGUGAUUACUAUGCCGCGCGUGACAUUGUCGCGUAUGACCGCAACCAAUCGCCAUUGGUCGGCCUCGACGUUAAAAAGGGGCCACCUUAUGAUCGCGAUGAGUCGAUGGUUGCUUCGUCGAGUCUCCUGUCUUUCUGCUCUCUAUGCGACACACGCGCCAGUGAAAAUAACGAUCGGUCGCGCAAUCGUCGAAGAAAAUAUCGUAAUCUGAUCGUUCAUGGAACAAAGUUAAAGCGGAGUACGAUAGUUGCUUCGAUUUAUCGAGGACAGGAUAUAUCGUCGCAAAAUCUUUCGAGUUAGAGUUACCUGUCUAUCUUUUUACUGUCUGUCUGUUAAAUUUUGUUACGCGCUCUAAACUUUCAUACAAACAUCACGACGAAAGGAAAUUACGCGAUCCUAACUAUCCACUUGCAACUUUUCACCUACAAGUGUCAUCUUUUGCUUGCUCUACGUCAUAAGCAAAUUGAUAGUUUACAAUUGUUAAAGCACUUUAGUGGCUAAUUUAUUAAUUACAAUAGCGAGAGUAUAAGGAGACGCGAAAUUGUUUUUUAUUUACGCAGAGCGCUCGAUUUCAAUGCAUAAAUGCGAAUUACUGGCAAACUAUCUGCUGUAUAAUAAUAA